GGGGGUAUAGCUCAGAGAUAGAGCAUUUGACUGCAGAUCAAGAGGUCCCUGGGUCAAAUAUAGGUCCUCCCU
rnacentral:tRNA from 1 species